AUGACAGAAACUCACAGUUUGAAGGAGCAUCAAACAGAUUCAACCAUUGUUAGAAAGCAGGAAACUCACAAAUUUAAGGAUCAGAAAACACAACAAAAUCUUCAAUUCAUCGUGCAACAUUCUACAAUUGAUGCCACAGUGCUAAAUAAUACGCAGGACAUGGACUUUAAGACAAACAUUACUAACAAACUUAACAACAAACAACAUGGACAAAACAACUCUCUCAUACAGAAAACUCAAUCACAAUUGGAGGUCAACAAAGUUCAGUAG